rnacentral:rRNA from 1 species
GCCAGACUCCUACGGGAGGCAGCAGUGGGGAAUAUUGCACAAUGGGGGAAACCCUGAUGCAGCAACGCCGCGUGAGUGAAGAAGUAUUUCGGUAUGUAAAGCUCUAUCAGCAGGGAAGAAGAAGGACGGUACCUGACUAAGAAGCCCCGGCUAACUACGUGCCAGCAGCCGCGGUAAUACGUAGGGGGCGAGCGUUAUCCGGAUUUACUGGGUGUAAAGGGAGCGUAGACGGUUAAUCAAGUCUGAAGUGAAAGCCCGCGGCUCAACUGCGGAACGGCUUUGGAAACUGAGUAACUGGAGUGCUGGAGGGGCAGGCGGAAUUCCUGGUGUAGCGGUGAAAUGCGUAGAUAUCAGGAGGAACACCAGUGGCGAAGGCGGCUUACUGGACGGCAACUGACGCUGAGGCUCGAAAGCGUGGGGAGCAAACAGGAUUAGAUACCCUCGUA